rnacentral:rRNA from 1 species
AGCGAACGCUGGCGGCAGGCCUAACACAUGCAAGUCGAACGGACCCUUCGGGUUAGUGGCGGACGGGUGAGUAACACGUGGGAACGUGCCUUUAGGUUCGGAAUAGCUCCUGGAAACGGUGGUAAUGCCGAAUGUGCCCUUCGGGGAAAGAUUUAUCGCCUUUAGAGCGGCCCGCGUCUGAUUAGCUUGUUGGUGAGGUA